rnacentral:RNase_P_RNA from 1 species
GGUCAUGUGAUUGCUGUUUAACAGAGGAAAGUCCGGGCUCCUAAGGCAAGGCGCCAGGUAACACCUGGGAGAUGUGAAUCUACGGAAAGUGCUACAGAAAAUAACCGCUGUCCGCAGUAAGGGUGAAAAGGUGAGGUAAGAGCUCACCGCUUUAUCAGGUAACUGAUUUUGGCAAAGCAAACCCCGCCUGGAGCAAGGCAAAUUUGUAGGAUAUGUUUCAGCCUGAAACUUACUACAUGGUAUGCCGCGUGAGGUUAUUGGUGACAAUAAUCCCAGAUAAAUAAUCACACUAGACAGAACCCGGCUUAUAGACCAGCUCU